CGAGCGGCGGACGGGUGAGUAAUGCCUGGGAAAUUGCCCAGUCGAGGGGGAUAACAGUUGGAAACGACUGCUAAUACCGCAUACGCCCUACGGGGGAAAGCAGGGGAUCUUCGGACCUUGCGCUAAUAGAUGAGCCUAAGUCAGAUUAGCUAGUUGGUGGGGUAAAGGCCUACCAAGGCGACGAUCUGUAGCGGGUCUGAGAGGAUGAUCCGCCACACUGGGACUGAGACACGGCCCAGACUCCUAC
rnacentral:rRNA from 13 species